GUUUAGACAAACUGUUUUCUCUAGAACAGUUGCAAUAGAUAGCCUACCAAUUUUGAAGUUACAGACACAUACUCGUGCAAGUUUAAGUUGAGAAAUGUUUAGUCGGCUUGCCAUAUUCGGUGUGUGCGCUAGAGUUAUUGCAUUUGGGAGGAGGUCUUGUGCGCGCUGCGUGUCCUCGUGCAUUUUUCCUGUUGUGUGUAUUUAUGCCAUAUUUCAUGCGGGUAUUAUUAGAGCUGGACGUUACUAAACUUAGCUUUAUUCUCUGCGUUAUUCAUCCUCUAAGUUUGUUCAUGCGUGGACAAAAAAGAAACGUCAACAAAUAGCCAGACCGACGAGGAAAAUGCCAAAAUAAGAAGGAAAAUAGCAUUGUAAACGAAGAAACGGAGACGUCUGAGAGCGAUGGCUUCCGUAGCCGGGAGCAAGAUUGUUUCCUUGAGGUGGAAAAAGAGCCAGGAAGGGGAAAAAGUUGUGGGAUAGGGAGGUUUGCUGAGGAGACUCCGUGGAGCCCAGAACUCAGGGGUCAAGUCCAGGUUUCCCCAGCCCCCAGCAUCCCUCCCGCUCUCCUCCUCUCCACAGAGAUGGACAGAAUCAGGCAGAGGCGUGAAGGGAUGGGGAGGAGAGGACAUGAGCCUCAAGUGAUAGAUUGACGCUUUAGAUGAGGAACGGUGGGAACGGAUAUUAUGGACGAAAAACAGUUUACUUUAGCAUUUUGCAGCCAACAUGCUUGACUUCUGCAGGGUUUGUUUUAUUUAUUUGUUUUGAUUAUUUUUUUUGUCUUGUUUUUAUAUGUCAGUAUUGAUAGUAAAGUGUUUUUCAUGUAAUGAGGGACACAACAACGACACACAAAUACUUGAGACUUUUUAGAAUAAGAUUACACAUGAAAAAAUGCAUUAGUUAACAGUAAACACAAAAAUGUAUUUUAAUAAUUAAUUCACUAUUGAAUUCACUAAUAAAUAUUUAUUCGCUUU
rnacentral:lncRNA from 1 species